rnacentral:rRNA from 1 species
GUGCUAACGUCCGUCGUGGAAAGGGAAACAACCCAGACCGUCAGCUAAGGUCCCAAAGUUAUAGUUAAGUGGGAAACGAUGUGGGAAGGUUUAGACAGCUAGGAGGUUGGCUUAGAAGCAGCCAUCCUUUAAAGAAAGCGUAAUAGCUCACUAGUCGAAUCGGCCUGCGCGGAAGAUAUAACGGGGCUCAAACAUACCACCGAAGCUACGGACGCAUGCUUGCAUGCGUGGUAGAGGAGCGUUCUGUAGGCCGUUGAAGGGAAAGCUGAGAGGCAUCCUGGAGGUAUCAGAAGUGCGAAUGCUGACAUGAGUAACGAUAAGGGGAGUGAAAAGCUCCCCCGCCGGAAGACCAAGGUUUCCUAUCCAAUGCUAAUCAGGGUAGGGUGAGUCGGCCCCUAAGGCGAGGCUGAAGAGCGUAGUCGAUGGGAAGCAGGUUAAUAUUCCUGCACCACUCAAUAUUGCGAAGGAGGGACGGAGAAGGCUAGUCCAGCGCGGCGUUGGUUGUCCGCGUUUAAGCGUGUAGGCUUAAAUCUUAGGUAAAUCCGGGAUUUUUUAAGGCUCAGGCGUGAUGACGAGGUCCAUUAGGACUGAAGUGGUUGAUGCCAUGCUUCCAGGAAAAGCUUCUAAGCUAUAGAUAUUGAGUGACCGUACCCCAAACCGACACAGGUGGUCAGGUAGAGAAUACCAAGGCGCUUGAGAGAACUCGGGUGAAGGAACUAGGCAAAAUGACACCGUAACUUCGGGAGAAGGUGUGCUCUUGUUAUGUGAUAUCACUUGCUGAUUGAGCAAAGAAGAGCUGAAAAAACUAGGUGGCUGCGACUGUUUAUUAAAAACACAGCACUCUGCAAACACGUAAGUGGACGUAUAGGGUGUGACUCCUGCCCGGUGCUUGAAGGUUAAUUGAUGAGGUUAGCGCUUGCGCGAAGCUUUUGAUCGAAGCCCAAGUAAACGGCGGCCGUAACUAUAACGGUCCUAAGGUAGCGAAAUUCCUUGUCGGGUAAGUUCCGACCUGCACGAAUGGAGUAACGACAGCCACACUGUCUCCACCCGAGACUCAGUGAAAUUGAAAUUGCUGUUAAGAUGCAGUAUAC